CACCCCCCCCCCUGCAGCCCCCUAUAUGAGCCCGCACUAUGUUCCUUAUAUCAUCAGACCCCUUCUAUGUCAGUAGCCUGAGACAAUUAUGAAAACGUGUUUGGCCAUGUGAGGCAUGGAGUCUGGAUG
rnacentral:snoRNA from 1 species